AAAGCAGCGCAUUUCAUUUCAAUUACCAAGCAUGGAUGAGAAGAUGAAGCUGAAGCACACAGGGAACAAACCAAAACAGCAAUCGUCCAUGAAGAAGAAGCAACAGCAGAAUGAGAAUCACAAGAGCAAGAGCAUUCACGACAUUCUCGCUCUUGAGCUGAUUCACAGAAUCCUACUUAGGGUUCCUGUCAAAGAUCUCGAUCGCCUCAAGUGCGUUUCGAAGCUUUGGAACACUCUCAUUUCCGAUCCCGAUUUUGCGAAAUCGCAUCUUCACCUCUCUGCCGCACCCACCCAUGUAUGCCUCUUCAUAAGUGACCGCUCCAAUGCCUUUUCCGUUGACAUUGACGCAGUAUUUCACCGCCACACUGCACUAAAAGAGGUAUCUCUCCCUUUCAAGAUGAACACACCUUUGGAUUUUACAGUUAUGUGCUCUUGCAGAGGGCUUGUUCUCUUACACCGUGCCCCGCAUUUUUUUUAUCGUAUGGAACCCACUAAUUGGAUCCAGCAAAAGAGUUUCCUACUCUCACAUUGUUUCUCGUAGUCGUCGCCAGUACUUUAUGUUUUCCGGUAUUGCGUGUUUGUAUGGAUUUGGUUAUGAUGCUUCACAGGAUGACUACUUAGUUGUUGUAGCUUCUCAGGAUAAGAAUGGCCAAGAGCACUUUGAUUGCUUGUCUUUGAGAACCAAUUCAUGGACUAAUCUUGAUUUUGCACUCUCCAAACCCUUGGAUACUAGCAACUGGCAAUCUUGUGGGUAUCUUCUUGAAUGGCGCUAUUCAUUGGGGGACUUUUAGAGAUUAUAGUAUUCUUAUAUUUGAUUUGAAGGAAAGAAGUUUCUCAAUCAUAUCUAUGCCUGAACAAGUGAUGGGUUAUCUCUUUGCCCCUCAUCUCGUCCUACUAGGAGGGUGCCUGGCCUUGUAUUCUCAUGAACCCAAAAAAACUAACAUAUGGGUGAUGAAAGAAUACAAAGUGCAUUCAUCUUGGACUUUCUAUCAGAUUCCUCGUGCACGAUUUGAGCCUCUAUGCUUAUCCAAUAGUAGUGACAUUGUUGCACAAGAUUAUGUUCUAAUGUCUAUAGAUCCCUACUUAAGGUUGGCCAAAUAUAAUGUCAGAGGAGAGCUCCUCCAACAAAGAAUUUUUUAUGAUCAUCAUCUAGCACAUGUUAAAGCUCGUCCGAGGUCUAUAUCGUCCAGAACAAGCUACAUUGUAUACACAGAGAGUCUCGUGCCAGUCCCCAGUGAGAUUAAGGAUAAGGAUAAGGAUAAGAAGAAGAAAAAUGAUGCAGGUUUUGGCUGUUUGCAUUUAUCAAUGCUUAUGGAAUAACUGAUCACUGUCUUGCUUCCUGAAGCCUAUUCUUGUGGUGAGGGGUUUUAAGUUAUUUCUUUUUUCAUGUCUAAUCGGUGCUUAUCUUUUUUUAUAGGCCGUCAGAAUCAGAAGAACGAUGUCAAACAAGAAAAGAGAACUAGGAGCGAAUGACUCAACAGAGACACUUAAUUAUGUUGUAAAUAAAGUGUUGGCAAGUUCUUCUGGAAGAAGCUACUAGAGAAUUUUGUUUUAUUUUGCUUUUGCAUUAAAGUAUGAUAUCCCUUUCAACUAUGAAUGUAAAAAACUGGAACAUUUGAAUGAGCAGAUAGAGUUUCCUCUAGUUAUUCCUAAAAUUUAGUAUCGUUGCUAAACAGAGUAUUAGAUUUAAAAUAAGAAUCAUGCUGUAUUGCUGUUUAACCACAUACUCUCAGUGUCGGCAAGAACAAUACUCUGAAUUUCGGAACGAUGAGGACAGCGAUUGAUUAUCGAUGAGGCAAUAAUCUACAAGAUGCCAUGUUAUGCAAACUUACUAAAUCAAUAAAUAACAAAUUAUGAUUUAAGCAUCUGGUAUUUUACAAUAUACCUCUGU